rnacentral:misc_RNA from 1 species
GAUGAAGAACGUAGCGAAAUGCGAUACGUAGUGUGAAUUGCAGAAUUCAGUGAAUCAUCGAAUCUUUGAACGCACAUUGCACCUCUCGGUAUUCCGGGAGGUAUGCCUGUUCGAGCGUCAUUUGUACCCUCAAGCUCUGCUUGGUGUUGGGUGUUUGUUCCGCCUCUGUGUGUGAACUCGCCUCAAAACAAUUGGCAGCCGGCGUACUUGUUUCGGAGCGCAGCACAUUUUGCGAUCCAGAUCAACGUACAGCGGCAUCCAAGAAGCCUUAUUUAACGCUCUUGACCUCGGAUCAGGUAGGGAUACCCGCUGAACUUAAGCAUAUCAAUAAGCAGGA